rnacentral:lncRNA from 1 species
AGUUCUCGUGCUGUGUUUUUCAGCUCUGUCGGUCUUUUAUAUUCUUCUCUAAACUGGUUAUUCUAGUUAGCAAUUCAUUUAACCUUUUAUCAAGGUUCUUAGCUUCCUUGCCUUGGGUUAGAACAUGCUACUUUAGCUUGGAGGAUUUUAUUACUCACUUUCGGAAGCCCACUUCUGUCAAUUCGUCAAACUCAUUCUCUGUCCAGUUUUGUUCCCUUGCUGGUGAGGAGUUGUGAAUCUUUGGAGAAGAGGCAUUCUUGUUUUUGGAAUUUUCAGCCUUUUGGCACUGUUUUUUUCUCAUCUUCAUGGAUUUGUCUACCUUUGGUCUUUGCUGUUGGUGACCUUUGGAUGGAGUUUUUGCAUGGUUGUCCUCUCUGUUGAUGCUAUCGCUUUCUGUUUGCUAGUUUUCCUUCUAACAGUCAGGCCCCUCUUCUGCAGGUCUGCUGGAGUUUGCUGUGGGUCCACUCCAGAUCCUGUUUCCCUGGGUAUCACCAGCAAAGGCUUCAGAACAGCAAAUAUUGCUGCUUGCUCCUUCCUCUGGAAGCUUUGUCUCAGAGGGUCACCCACCUAAUGCCAGCCGUAGCUCUCCUGUGUGAGGUGUCUGUUGACCCCUGCUGGGAGGUGUCUCCCCAUCAGGAGGCACGGGGGUCAGGGACCCACUUGAGGAGGCAGUCUGUCCCUUAGCAGAGCUCCAGCGCUGUGCUGGGAGAUCUGCUGCUCUCUUCAAAGCUUGCAGACAGGAACAUUUAAGUCUGCUGAAGCGGCUCCCACAGACACCCCUUCCCCCGGGUGCUCUGUCCCAGGGAGAUGGGAGUUUUAUCUAUUAGCCCCUGACUGUGGCUGCUGUCUUUCUUUCAGUGAUGCCCUGCCAAGAGAGGAGGAAUCUAGAGAGGCAGUCUGACUACAGUGGCUUUGUGGUGCUGCAGUGCACUCUGCCUAGUCCUAACUUCCCAGUGGUGUUGUUUACACUGUGAGGGGAAAACCACCUACUCAAGCCUCAGUAACGGCGGAUGCCCCUACCCCCACCAAGCUUGAGUGUUCCAGGCCGACUUCCCACUGCUGUGCUGGCAGCAAGAAUUUCAAGCCAGUGGAUUUUAGCUUUUUUGGGCUCCAUGGCGGUAGGAUCUGCUGAGCAAGACCACUUGGAUCCCUGGCUUCAGCCUCUUUUCCAGAAAUGAAAAGCUGAUUCUAAAAUUCAUAGAGAAUUGCAAGGAACACAGAAGAAUGAAGAGUAUCUUUAAAAAGGACAAAACUGGAGGUCUCACACUUCUCAAUGCCUGAAUUUACUAGUAAACUACACUAAUCAAACAGUGUGGUAUUAUCAUAAACAUAGACAGACAUGGAUCAAUGAAAUAGAACUCAGAGUCCAAAAAUAAAACAACAUAUUUAUGGUCAAUUGAUUUUCAAGAGAAUUGGUAAAAACUCUUAAUGAGAAAAAAAUAUUUUCAAUAAAUGGUACUGAGACAACUAAAUAUUCACAAGUAAAAGAAUAAAUUUGGACCUCUACAUUAUGUCAUAUAUAAAAAUUAAAUCAAAAUGGAUCGAAGACUUAAAUGUAAGAGCUGAAAAUAUAAAAUUCAUAGAAGGAAAUAUAUGUGUAAAUCUUCAACACUUUACGUUAGCCAGUGGUUGUUGAAACAUAGCACAAAAGACACAAUCAACCAAGAAAAAAAUAAACUGUACUUCAUCAAAAUUAAAAACAAUUUUUCCAUCAUUGGACACUACAAAGCAAUGGAAAAGAUAACUCAUGGAAUUAAAAAAUAUAUUUCCGUAUUAUAUAUCUGAUAAAAGUCUAGUAUCCAGAAUAUGUAAAGAAUUCUCACAAAUAACAACUAAAAGAUAAACAGCUAAUUUCAAAAAUGCGGCUGGGCACAGUGGGUUACAACUGUAAUCCCAGAGCUUUGUGAGGUUGAGGUGGGAGGAUUGCUUGAGGCUAGGAGUUUGAGACCAAUCUGGGCAACAUAGCAAGACCCUGUCUCUACAAAAAUACCUUUAAAAAAAAUUAGCCAGGUGUGGUGGUGGGUGCCUGCAGCCAUAGCUGCUCAGAAGGCUGAGGUGGGAAGACUGCUUAAAUGCAGGAGUUCAAGGUUGCACUGAACUAUAAUAUGCCACUGCACUCCAGCCUGGCCGACAGGGCAAGACUCUAUCUCAAAUAAUAAUUUAAAAAAAUGAGCAAAGAACAUAGACAUUUUUCCAUAAAUAUAUAAAGUCAAUAAGCAUCUGAAACAAUGGUUAAUAUCAUUAGGUCAUUAAGAAUUCAAACAAAGAACUACUCUAAACCCACUAGGAUAGCAAGAUGAAGAAGAUAAUAAAAGAAGGAAGAGGAGGAGAGGGGGAAAAAGAGGAAGAGAAGGAUGGAGAAGGCAAAGGGAGGAGAAAAAGGUGGAGGAGGAGAAAGGGAGGAAGAAGAUAAUAAGAAGUGCUGGCAAGGAUGUGGAGAAACUGGAAUGUUUAUACAUUACUGAUGGGAAUAUAAAAUGGUGCACUUGCUGUGGAAAACAGUAUGGCUAUUUCUCAAAAAGCUAAAAGUAGGGUUAUAUCAGAUAACUCAGAAAUGUCACUCCUAGGUGUAUGCCCAAGAGAAUUAAACACAUAUGUUUACAUAAAAACUUGUAUACAAAUGUUGAUAGGAGUAUUAUUAAUAAUAGUCCCAAAUUAGGCACAAUCAAAGUGUCCAUCAAAUGAUGAGUGGAUAAACAACUGUGGUAAAUGCAUACAGCAGAAUAUUAUUUAACCAAAACAGAAAAAGUAAUGAUACAUGCUACAGUGUGGAUGAACUUAAAACCAUGCUAAGUUAAAAAGCCAGUCAAUAAAGUCCACAUGUUAUAUGAUCCAUUUACAUAAAAUAUCCAGAAUAGUCAAAUUUAUACAUGCAGAAACUAGAUUAAUAAUAACAGGGGCUUGGAGUAGAAGGAAUAGUGUGUGGCUGUUUAUUAGGUGUAGCUUAUUUUUUUGGGGUGAUAAUAUUCUGGAAGAUAGUAGUAAUUAUUGCACAACAUUCUGCAUAUACUACAAACUGUCAAAUUUCACAAUUUAACAUGGUUAAAAUGCUAAAUCUUAUGUAAAUUUUACCCUCCUUUAUUUUUUAAUAAAAUGAAUUGUAUUAAUUUAUUUACUGUUCUUACCAUAUCAGAGUAUUGACUAUACCCAGUUGUACAUUCCUUUUUUUUAGAUGUAUACUUAGCAUGUACACAUAAGUGUGUGAGGGUAGGAACUAUCUCAAUGGUUUUUAGAGUUAGAUUAUUCAUUUGUAACAAUAUAUCUGAUGUAUCAUGGGAUCUUAAUAAAUGUUUGUUGAGUGAAAAAUAAAU